CAGCCGCCGCGGGAAUACGGAGGGGGCUAGCGUUGUUCGGAAUUACUGGGCGUAAAGCGCACGUAGGCGGCUUUGUAAGUUAGAGGUGAAAGCCCGGAGCUCAACUCCGGAAUUGCCUUUAAGACUGCAGAGCUAGCAGGUGAGAGAGGUAAGUGGAAUUCCGAGUGUAGAGGUGAAAUUCGUAGAUAUUCGGAAGAACACCAGUGGCGAAGACGGCUCACUGGACGACUGUUGACGCUGAGGUACGAAAGCGUGGGGAGCAAACAGGACUAGAUACCCCAGUAGUCCCUGUCUCUUAUAC
rnacentral:rRNA from 1 species